GUAGGUGGCAAGCGUUGUCCGGAAUUAUUGGGCGUAAAGCGCGCGCAGGCGGUUCUUUAAGUCUGAUGUGAAAGCCCACGGGCUCAACCGUGGAGGGUCAUUGGAAACUGGAGAACUUGAGUACAGAAGAGGAAAGCGGAAUUCCACGUGUAGCGGUGAAAUGCGUAGAGAUGUGGAGGAACACCAGUGGCGAAGGCGGCUUUCUGGUCUGUAACUGACGCUGAGGCGCGAAAGCGUGGGGAGCAAACAGGAUUAGAUACCCUGGUAGUCCACGCCGUAAACGAUGAGUGCUAAGUGUUAGGGGGGUUUCCGCCCCUUAGUGCUGCAGCUAACGCAUUAAGCACUCCGCCUGGGGAGUACGGCCGCAAGGCCG
rnacentral:rRNA from 1 species